CUAGAUAGCUACCUCUUGCUUACUAAGUUGAAGGUUGGUUAUGGUGUGGCUUAGCUUCUUUCAUUUGUUUCCCGGGUCAACAUAUUAUGUAGGAUGAGAAAAUCUAGAGCAGUUUUUAGUUGGCUUAUGGUUCAGUUUAUAAAGGAUGUCAAACUACGGGUUCUAGAUUUGUUCUCUGCAAUUAAUAAACAUAUAAUAACAGAAUAUAUGGGAAAUAGGCAUUCUCUGAAUUGUUCUUGAGGUAUAUUUUUAGGUGGGGAUCCUUGCUCCUCUGUACUUGCACAAAAGGCGAGUAAUCAGAACACAUGGAAAAUAUAUUUUUACCGUUAUUUAUUUACAUCUGAAGUUGUUCAGUUUCACUUGGGCAUGAUAUUUGCAAAGUAAAAAAGUUACUCGAAAUUCCUGCUUUUCGGUACUUUUCUUAUUUUUUUAGAUCUAUUUGUUGUCCCAAUGCUAUACUAUGUGCAGAUGUGGAACUGGUUCCAUAUACAAUGAUGUCUCUUAUUUCUUGUAUUGAUUUUAUUGGAAUUAACUCAUACUUAUGAUCCUAUAAAUAGAUACGCAGAAGAUAGAUGAGUUAGGGAGACACAUCAAGAGAUACAUUUUCUAUCUAUUUUGAAAAUUCUUAGCUGUCUGGAAGUGAUAGUUUUGAGUUCUCCGUGCUGGUUAUACAGAUUUAGCUAUGAUGUUGCUGUCAAGGGCCCAAAGAAGUAGUGAAUCAGAGGGACAAGAGGGCGAGGAUGCUGUUAACACAGAAAACAAAGAGGAAUAUCAAUGUGUGGAGGAAGCUUCAUCACCGCCGUCCCUCGCUUGCCGUCUUCCAACACCAGGGAUGAUACAUAUAUCUCUACAAAUAUUGUGCAUGUGUGUUAGUGCCUAUACAAGAGUACCCAACUUAUAUAUUGUUAGCUGCAGAGGAUUGCUCGCUGUCAGGGGCUGGGCGGAGGAAUGCGCCACGGAUCCCGCGCAAGCGUCCGCGACAACUGGACCCCUCCCUAAUCCACGAUCCGAACCCUAACCGCCGCUAAU